rnacentral:rRNA from 1 species
AGCUCCAAGAGCGUAUAUUAAAGUUGUUGCAGUUAAAAAGCUCGUAGUUGGAUUUCUGGUGUAAUGCGCCUGGCCCGUGGCCGUCUAGGCUUAUGAGUGCCGGUGCGCGUUCACCAUCCUUCAAGCCAACGGUUCUACCUUUAACUGGGCCGGAACCGCGACUUGAUCUUUUACUUUGAAAAAAUUAGAGUGUUUAAAGCAGGCAUUUGCUAUGAAUAAAACAGCAUGGAAUAAUAAUCUAGGACUUCGGUUCUAUUUUGUUGGUUUCUAGUACUGGAGUAAUGAUUGAUAGGGAUAGUUGGGGGUGCUAGUAUUGGCCGGCCAGAGGUGAAAUUCUUGGAUUCGGUCAAGACUAACUAAUGCGAAAGCAUUCACCAAGGAUGUCUUCUUUAAUCAAGAA